rnacentral:rRNA from 1 species
CCUGCGGGGGGCAGCAGUGAGGAAUAUUGGUCAAUGGGCGGGAGCCUGAACCAGCCAAGCCGCGUGAAGGAAGAAGGCGCCAGGCGUCGUAAACUUCUUUUGUCGGGGAACAAAGGGCGCCACGCGUGGCGUUGUGAGUGUACCCGAAGAAAAAGCAUCGGCUAACUCCGUGCCAGCAGCCGCGGUAAUACGGAGGAUCCGAGCGUUAUCCGGAUUUAUUGGGUUUAAAGGGUGCGUAGGCGGUUUGAUAAGUUAGAGGUGAAAUGUCGGGGCUCAACCCCGAAACUGCCUCUAAUACUGUUGGA